rnacentral:rRNA from 1 species
UACGGAGGAUCCGAGCGUUAUCCGGAAUUAUUGGGUUUAAAGGGUGCGUAGGCGGCCUGAUAAGUCAGGGGUGAAAGACGGUGGCUCAACCAUCGCAGUGCCUUUGAUACUGUCAGGCUUGAAUGUAGUUGAGGUGGGCGGAAUGAGACAAGUAGCGGUGAAAUGCAUAGAUAUGUCUCAGAACACCAAUUGCGAAGGCAGCUCACUAAACUAUGAUUGACGCUGAGGCACGAAAGCGUGGGGAUCAAACAGG